UAUUUGUUUCAUACACAGAGUCAUGGAGAUGGACGUAAGACUUGUAACUAUGGUGUAUGUGUGAAAGGUGAAAAUUAUGCGGAUGCAUCUGACGCCGCAAAUAUUUACGGAAACUUAACUGAUAUCAUAGAACUUGAGUAUGAGGGGGUGGUC
rnacentral:sRNA from 1 species